rnacentral:lncRNA from 1 species
UCCAGAUUUGCCAUUAUGCAGCUCUUUGCACCCUACUAGCUUGGCUUGCUCCUAUGGGCCUCCCCUGUCCCCACACCUUAAACUUUUGAAUAUUUUCUGGGUACUUUAUUCAUAGUGGUUAAGGGGGAAUAGAUCAUGGGUGCCACGUAAAUAAGAGGCCAUCUUUUGGCCUUUUUUGAGAAAAAAAAGUAAAAUAACAUAUUUGUGAAUAAAAAAUAAAUGUGUUCCUAUCUAGCAAUGUAAA